rnacentral:sRNA from 1 species
GACGCAAUCCGCCUGCGCGCUGGGCGGGGCGGGGUGUGAGCCGACCGCGGGCGCUGGGCGGGUCCGCGGCGCGGUCGGUCGGCGCCUAUUCUCGGGCUGUUUGGCGGACGAAGCUUCACAAAAGAUGUCUAAGGUGAAUCAGGUCUAGGAAAAUCGACUCUCAUAAACAGCCUAUUCCUAACUGAUCUGUACCCAGAAAGAGUCAUACCUGGAGCAGCAGAAAAAAUUGAAAGAACCGUCCAGAUUGAGGCUUCAACUGUUGAAAUUGAAGAGCGAGGGGUCAAGCUACGCCUGACAGUGGUAGAUACCCCUGGCUAUGGUGACGCUAUCAACUGCAGAGAUUGUCACGUUCCUGAAAAGAAUUGGCAGCCCUGGCCGGGUGCGAUGGCUCACGCCUGUAAUCCCAGCACUUUGGGAGGCUGAGGUGGGCUGAUCACAAGGUCAGGAGUUCAAGACCAGCCUGGCCAACAUGGUGAAACCCUGUCU